rnacentral:lncRNA from 1 species
GAGCACCUACAAUGUGCCUUGGUGCCCCAACACACACACAGCCCCCAACACACAGCCCCCAAUACACACACCAGAGCCCCCAACACAUACACCAGAGCCCCCCAACACACACACCAGAGCCUCCAACACACAGACACACCAGAGCCUCGAACACACACAAGAGCCUCCAACACACACACACCAGAGCCUUCAACACAUACACACCAGAGCCUCCAACACACACACACCAGAGCCUCCAACACACACACACACCAGAGCCCCCAACACACACACCAGAGCCCCCAACACACACACCAGUGCCCCCAACACACACACACCAGAGCCUCCAACACACACACCAGAGCCCCCAACACACACACACCAGAGCCCCCAACACACACACACCAGAGCCCCCAACACACACCCCAGAGCCCUCCAACACACACACCAGAGCCAACACACACACCAGAGCCCCCAAGACACACACCAGAGCCCGCAACACACACACCAGAGCCCCUCAACAGACACAGAGCCCCCCCAAGAAACACACACACACCCCCACUGCCUCGUCCCCUCCCCAUCUGCAUCCAUCUAGAUGGCCCAGCAAGAUAUUUUGCUAAAGACAAAGUAAAAAUUCCCUCAAGCAUGUCCGCGGCCCCGCUGUGAAUGUUUUCUCCCGACUCAAUAGACAUACAUUUCUUGAGUGUUUUCUGUGUGCCAAGUGUUGUUACAUGCAGUGUCUCAUGUCCUCACAGAAAUCUCCAUGUAGCAGAUGAGUAAACUGAGGCGGGUGGAGAUGGUGACUUCGAGCUAAGGCUGAGUGAAGAUUGGUGCAUCCUGGGGUCCUCUCUGCCAGGUGCACACUGAAUGGCAAGGCUGGGCCAGAGCCCUCAGUUGCCUCCCAACAACUCUCCCCUGAAGCAGAAAAAAGCAGAAAAG